rnacentral:rRNA from 1 species
CGUGCGGCACUAUACAUGCAGUCGAGCGGACAGAUGGGAGCUUGCUCCCUGAUGUUAGCGGCGGACGGGUGAGUAACACGUGGGUAACCUGCCUGUAAGACUGGGAUAACUCCGGGAAACCGGGGCUAAUACCGGAUGGUUGUUUGAACCGCAUGGUUCAAACAUAAAAGGUGGCUUCGGCUACCACUUACAGAUGGACCCGCGGCGCAUUAGCUAGUUGGUGAGGUAAUGGCUCACCAAGGCAACGAUGCGUAGCCGACCUGAGAGGGUGAUCGGCCACACUGGGACUGAGACACGGCCCAGACUCCUACGGGAGGCAGCAGUAGGGAAUCUUCCGCAAUGGACGAAAGUCUGACGGAGCAACGCCGCGUGAGUGAUGAAGGUUUUCGGAUCGUAAAGCUCUGUUGUUAGGGAAGAACAAGUACCGUUCGAAUAGGGCGGUACCUUGACGGUACCUAACCAGAAAGCCACGGCUAACUACGUGCCAGCAGCCGCGGUAAUACGUAGGUGGCAAGCGUUGUCCGGAAUUAUUGGGCGUAAAGGGCUCGCAGGCGGUUUCUUAAGUCUGAUGUGAAAGCCCCCGGCUCAACCGGGGAGGGUCAUUGGAAACUGGGGAACUUGAGUGCAGAAGAGGAGAGUGGAAUUCCACGUGUAGCGGUGAAAUGCGUAGAGAUGUGGAGGAACACCAGUGGCGAAGGCGACUCUCUGGUCUGUAACUGACGCUGAGGAGCGAAAGCGUGGGGAGCGAACAGGAUUAGAUACCCUGGUAGUCCACGCCGUAAACGAUGAGUGCUAAGUGUUAGGGGUUUCCGCCCCUUAGUGCUGCAGCUAACGCAUUAAGCACUCCGCCUGGGGAGUACGGUCGCAAGACUGAAACUCAAAGGAAUUGACGGGGGCCCGCACAAGCGGUGGAGCAUGUGGUUUAGUUCGAGCAACGCGAAGAACCUUACCAGUCUUGACAUCCUCUGACAUCCUAGAGAUAGGACGUCCCGUUCGGGGCAG